GAUGAACGCUGGCGGCGUGCCUAAUACAUGCAAGUCGAGCGAAUGGAUUAAGAGCUUGCUCUUAUGAAGUUAGCGGCGGACGGGUGAGUAACACGUGGGUAACCUGCCCAUAAGACUGGGAUAACUCCGGGAAACCGGGGCUAAUACCGGAUAACCUUUUGAACCGCAUGGUUCGAAAUUGAACGGCGGCUUCGGCUGUCACUUAUGGAUGGACCCGCGUCGCAUUAGCUAGUUGGUGAGGUAACGGCGCACCAAGGCAACGAUGCGUAGCCGACCUGGGAAGGUGAUCGGCCACACUGGGACUGAGAAACGGCGCAUACUGCUACGGGAGGCAGCAGUAGGGAAUCUUCCGCAAUGGACGAAAGUCUGACGGAGCAACGCCGCGUGAGUGAUGAAGGCUUUCGGGUCGUAAAACUCUGUUGUUAGGGAAGAACAAGUGCUAGUUGAAUAAGCUGACACCUUGACGGUACCUAACCAGAAAGCCACGGCUAACUACGUGCCAGCCGCCGCGGUAA
rnacentral:rRNA from 1 species